rnacentral:lncRNA from 1 species
GAUGUCAUCAAGUUAAGAUGAGGUCAUUAAGGGAGGUUCUAAUCCCAUAUGACUGAUGUCCUUAUAAGAAGAGGCCACGUGAAGAUGGAGGCAGAGAGUGAAGCGAUGCAGCCACAAGUCAAGGACGCCAUCAGCUACUGGACAACAGAGAGGCAAGGGCGAUCCUCCUCUACGGCUUGGGAGGAGCACGGCCCUGCUGACACCUUGAUUUUGGACCCUUGGCCACCAGAACUGUGGGAGAAUAAAUACCUGCUGUUUUAAGCACCCCGUUUGUGGCACUUUGUUACGGCAGCCCAAGGAAAUGAAUACAACAGCAGAGUAAGGAAAUGAACGCAACAGCAGAGCGAGGAAAUGCGUGAACCCGGGCCCCGUGAUGGAGCGCAGCAGAGCGGAGCUGCACACGCACCUGGACCGCUCACCUGAGGACAGUUACCUGAGAGGGAGGCAGACCUUUACAUCCUUUAAACUGCUACGCUUUUUGAAGCUGCCCUUUCUCUUUCCUCCUUCCUUGUCGGCUCGUUCCAUCUGUCUUAAGAAGGGACCUUUCUCCUCUCUUGGAGCAUCCCUUGUGUACCUCCCCGGCUUUGUGACUGACUGCUUUCGAGUGUUGCUUUCGAGGGAGAACUGUAGAAGUUGUGAGAGACGUCUGUGACAAAGUUGGCAUCCAGUAACGCCAACCGGAUUACCGGUUUGGGGGGCAGGUUUUGGAGAAAACAGCAUGAAUCAACCUCAAUUAUUUACUUACAGAAAAGUUGAAGGACAGUGCAGAGAGUUCUCGGAUGCCCCAGCCCAGCUUCCGCAGGUGUCAACAUCUUACA